GCCCGGAUGGUGGAAUUGGUAGACACAGGGGACUUAAAAUCCCCUUUCCGCAAGGGAGUGCGGGUUCGAGUCCCGCUCCGGGCA
rnacentral:tRNA from 1 species